rnacentral:rRNA from 1 species
UACGUAGGGGGCAAGCGUUAUCCGGAAUUACUGGGUGUAAAGGGAGCGUAGACGGUAAUGUAAGUCUGGAGUGAAAGGCGGGGGCCCAACCCCCGGACUGCUCUGGAAACUAUGUUACUAGAGUGCAGGAGAGGUAAGCGGAAUUCCUAGUGUAGCGGUGAAAUGCGUAGAUAUUAGGAGGAACACCAGUUGCGAAGGCGGCUCUCUGGACUGUAACUGACACUGAGGCACGAAAGCGUGGGGAGCAAACAGG